GGUUAAGCGACUAAGCGUACACGGUGGAUGCCCUGGCAGUCAGAGGCGAUGAAGGGCGUGCUAAUCUGCGAUAAGCGCCGGUAAGGUGAUAUGAACCGUUAUAACCGGCGAUACCCGAAUGGGGAAACCCAGUGUGAUUCGUCACACUAUCAUUACGUGAAUACAUAGCGUAAUGAAGCGAACCGGGGGAACUGAAACAUCUAAGUACCCCGAGGAAAAGAAAUCAACCGAGAUUCCCCCAGUAGCGGCGAGCGAACGGGGAGGAGCCCAGAGCCUGAAUCAGCAUGUGUGUUAGUGGAAGCGUCUGGAAAGGCGCGCGAUACAGGGUGACAGCCCCGUACACAAAAGCGCAUGUGCUGUGAGCUCGAUGAGUAGGGCGGGACACGUGGUAUCCUGUCUGAAUAUGGGGGGACCAUCCUCCAAGGCUAAAUACUCCUGACUGACCGAUAGUGAACCAGUACCGUGAGGGAAAGGCGAAAAGAACCCCGGCGAGGGGAGUGAAAAAGAACCUGAAACCGUGUACGUACAAGCAGUGGGAGCCCCACCACUAAGCCAGUGGUGAACUCCACAUACGCAUCCUUUGCUGAGGAUACGGUUAACGGAGCGAAAGCGACGUUCAACCGCAAAAGAAGCAGAGGGGGCUUAGUGGUGGGGUGACUGCGUACCUUUUGUAUAAUGGGUCAGCGACUUAUAUUCUGUAGCAAGGUUAACCGAAUAGGGGAGCCGCAGGGAAACCGAGUCUUAAUUGGGCGUUAAGUUGCAGGGUAUAGACCCGAAACCCGGUGAUCUAGCCAUGGGCAGGUUGAAGGUUGGGUAACACUAACUGGAGGACCGAACCGACUAAUGUUGAAAAAUUAGCGGAUGACCUGUGGCUGGGGGUGAAAGGCCAAUCAAACCGGGAGAUAGCUGGUUCUCCCCGAAAGCUAUUUAGGUAGCGCCUCGUGAAUUCAUCUCCGGGGGUAGAGCACUGUUUCGGCUAGGGGGCCAUCCCGGCUUACCAACCCGAUGCAAACUGCGAAUACCGGAGAAUGUUAUCACGGGAGACACACGGCGGGUGCUAACGUCCGUCGUGAAGAGGGAAACAACCCAGACCGCCAGCUAAGGUCCCAAAGUCAUGGUUAAGUGGGAAACGAUGUGGGAAGGCCCAGACAGCCAGGAUGUUGGCUUAGAAGCAGCCAUCAUUUAAAGAAAGCGUAAUAGCUCACUGGUCGAGUCGGCCUGCGCGGAAGAUGUAACGGGGCUAAACCAUGCACCGAAGCUGCGGCAGCGACGCUGAUGCGUUGUUGGGUAGGGGAGCGUUCUGUAAGCCUGUGAAGGUGUGUCGUGAGGCAUGCUGGAGGUAUCAGAAGUGCGAAUGCUGACAUAAGUAACGAUAAAGCGGGUGAAAAGCCCGCUCGCCGGAAGACCAAGGGUUCCUGUCCAACGUUAAUCGGGGCAGGGUGAGUCGACCCCUAAGGCGAGGCCGAAAGGCGUAGUCGAUGGGAAACGGGUUAAUAUUCCCGUACUUGGUGUUACUGCGAAGGGGGGACGGAGAAGGCUAUGUUGGCCGGGCGACGGUUGUCCCGGUUUAAGCGUGUAGGUGUGUGUUCCAGGUAAAUCCGGUUCACUUUAACACUGAGGCGUGAUGACGAGGCACUACGGUGCUGAAGCAACAAAUGCCCUGCUUCCAGGAAAAGCCUCUAAGCAUCAGGUAACAUCAAAUCGUACCCCAAACCGACACAGGUGGUCAGGUAGAGAAUACCAAGGCGCUUGAGAGAACUCGGGUGAAGGAACUAGGCAAAAUGGUGCCGUAACUUCGGGAGAAGGCACGCUGACACGUAGGUGAAGUGAUUUACUCACGGAGCUGAAGUCAGUCGAAGAUACCAGCUGGCUGCAACUGUUUAUUAAAAACACAGCACUGUGCAAACACGAAAGUGGACGUAUACGGUGUGACGCCUGCCCGGUGCCGGAAGGUUAAUUGAUGGGGUCAGCGCAAGCGAAGCUCCUGAUCGAAGCCCCGGUAAACGGCGGCCGUAACUAUAACGGUCCUAAGGUAGCGAAAUUCCUUGUCGGGUAAGUUCCGACCUGCACGAAUGGCGUAAUGAUGGCCAGGCUGUCUCCACCCGAGACUCAGUGAAAUUGAACUCGCUGUGAAGAUGCAGUGUACCCGCGGCAAGACGGAAAGACCCCGUGAACCUUUACUAUAGCUUGACACUGAACAUUGAGCCUUGAUGUGUAGGAUAGGUGGGAGGCUUUGAAGUGUGGACGCCAGUCUGCAUGGAGCCGACCUUGAAAUACCACCCUUUAAUGUUUGAUGUUCUAACGUGGACCCGUAAUCCGGGUUGCGGACAGUGUCUGGUGGGUAGUUUGACUGGGGCGGUCUCCUCCUAAAGAGUAACGGAGGAGCACGAAGGUUGGCUAAUCCUGGUCGGACAUCAGGAGGUUAGUGCAAUGGCAUAAGCCAGCUUGACUGCGAGCGUGACGGCGCGAGCAGGUGCGAAAGCAGGUCAUAGUGAUCCGGUGGUUCUGAAUGGAAGGGCCAUCGCUCAACGGAUAAAAGGUACUCCGGGGAUAACAGGCUGAUACCGCCCAAGAGUUCAUAUCGACGGCGGUGUUUGGCACCUCGAUGUCGGCUCAUCACAUCCUGGGGCUGAAGUAGGUCCCAAGGGUAUGGCUGUUCGCCAUUUAAAGUGGUACGCGAGCUGGGUUUAGAACGUCGUGAGACAGUUCGGUCCCUAUCUGCCGUGGGCGCUGGAGAACUGAGGGGGGCUGCUCCUAGUACGAGAGGACCGGAGUGGACGCAUCACUGGUGUUCGGGUUGUCAUGCCAAUGGCACUGCCCGGUAGCUAAAUGCGGAAGAGAUAAGUGCUGAAAGCAUCUAAGCACGAAACUUGCCCCGAGAUGAGUUCUCCCUGAGACUUAGAGUCUCCUGAAGGAACGUUGAAGACGACGACGUUGAUAGGCCGGGUGUGUAAGCGCAGCGAUGCGUUGAGCUAACCGGUACUAAUGAACCGUGAGGCUUAACCUU
rnacentral:rRNA from 1 species